GUGAGGAAUAUUGGUCAAUGGGCGGGAGCCUGAACCAGCCAAGUCGCGUGAAGGAAGAAGGAUCUAUGGUUCGUAAACUUCUUUUGCAGGGGAAUAAAGUGCAGGACGUGUCCUGUUUUGUAUGUACCCUGAGAAUAAGGAUCGGCUAACUCCGUGCCAGCAGCCGCGGUAAUACGGAGGAUCCGAGCGUUAUCCGGAUUUAUUGGGUUUAAAGGGUGCGUAGGUGGUUUGAUAAGUCAGCGGUGAAAGUUUGCAGCUUAACUGCAGAACGGCCAUUGAUACUGAUAGCCUUGAGUUUGGUUAAGGUAGGCGGAAUGUGUAAUGUAGCGGUGAAAUGCUUAGAUAUUACACAGAACACCAAUUGCGUAGGCAGCUUACUGAGCCGACACUGACGCUGAGGCACGAAAGCGUGGGGAUCGAACAGGAUUAGAAACCCCGGUAGUCC
rnacentral:rRNA from 1 species